GGCUUCGUGGUCGACUGGUAAGGAUACUUGCCUCUUAUCCUGGAGUCCCGGGUUCGAUCCCCGGUCGAGGAGCUA
rnacentral:tRNA from 1 species